CGGGUGAGUAAUGUCUGGGAAACUGCCUGAUGGAGGGGGAUAACUACUGGAAACGGUAGCUAAUACCGCAUAACGUCGCAAGACCAAAGAGGGGGACCUUCGGGCCUCUUGCCAUCGGAUGUGCCCAGAUGGGAUUAGCUAGUAGGUGGGGUAACGGCUCACCUAGGCGACGAUCCCUAGCUGGUCUGAGAGGAUGACCAGCCACACUGGAGCUGAGACACGGUCCAG
rnacentral:rRNA from 1 species